rnacentral:rRNA from 1 species
GAUGAACGCUGGCGGCGUGCUUAACACAUGCAAGUCGAGCGAAGCACUAAAGCGGAUUUCUUCGGAUUGAAGGUUUAGUGACUGAGCGGCGGACGGGUGAGUAACGCGUGGGUAACCUGCCUCAUACAGGGGGAUAACAGUUGGAAACGGCUGCUAAUACCGCAUAAGCGCACAGUACCGCAUGGUACGGUGUGAAAAACUCCGGUGGUAUGAGAUGGACCCGCGUCUGAUUAGGUAGUUGGUGGGGUAACGGCCUACCAAGCCGACGAUCAGUAGCCGACCUGAGAGGGUGACCGGCCACAUUGGGACUGAGACACGGCCCAAACUCCUACGGGAGGCAGCAGUGGGGAAUAUUGCACAAUGGGGGAAACCCUGAUGCAGCGACGCCGCGUGAGCGAAGAAGUAUUUCGGUAUGUAAAGCUCUAUCAGCAGGGA